GAUGAACGCUGGCGGCGUGCCUAAUACAUGCAAGUCGAGCGAACAGACGAGGAACUUACUCCUCUGACGUUAGCGGCGGACGGGUGAGUAACACGUGGAUAACCUACCUAUAAGACUGGGAUAACUUCGGGAAACCGGAGCUAAUACCGGAUAACAUGUUGAACCGCAUGGUUCAACAGUGAAAGACGGUCUUGCUGUCACUUAUAGAUGGAUCCGCGUCGCAUUAGCUAGUUGGUAAGGUAACGGCUUACCAAGGCAACGAUGCGUAGCCGACCUGAGAGGGUGAUCGGCCACACUGGAACUGAGACACGGUCCAGACUCCUACGGGAGGCAGCAGUAGGGAAUCUUCCGCAAUGGGCGAAAGCCUGACGGAGCAACGCCGCGUGAGUGAAGAAGGUCUUCGGAUCGUAAAACUCUGUUAUUAGGGAAGAACAAAUGUGUAAGUAACUAUGCACGUCUUGACGGUACCUAAUCAGAAAGCCACGGCUAACUACGUG
rnacentral:rRNA from 1 species